GGGAAUCUUCCGCAAUGGACGAAAGUCUGACGGAGCAACGCCGCGUGAGUGAUGAAGGCUUUCGGGUCGUAAAACUCUGUUGUUAGGGAAGAACAAGUGCUAGUUGAAUAAGCUGGCACCUUGACGGUACCUAACCAGAAAGCCACGGCUAACUACGUGCCAGCAGCCGCGGUAAUACGUAGGUGGCAAGCGUUAUCCGGAAUUAUUGGGCGUAAAGCGCGCGCAGGUGGUUUCUUAAGUCUGAUGUGAAAGCCCACGGCUCAACCGUGGAGGGUCAUUGGAAACUGGGAGACUUGAGUGCAGAAGAGGAAAGUGGAAUUCCAUGUGUAGCGGUGAAAUGCGUAGAGAUAUGGAGGAACACCAGUGGCGAAGGCGACUUUCUGGUCUGUAACUGACACUGAGGCGCGAAAGCGUGGGGAGCAAACAGGAUUAGAUACCCUGGUAGUCCACGCCGUAAACGAUGAGUGCUAAGUGUUAGAGGGUUUCCGC
rnacentral:rRNA from 1 species